rnacentral:rRNA from 1 species
AGAGUUUGAUCCUGGCUCAGAUUGAACGCUGGCGGCAGGCUUAACACAUGCAAGUCGAACGGUAACAGGAAGGAAGCUUGCUUUCUUUGCUGACGAGUGGCGGACGGGUGAGUAAUGCUUGGGAAUCUGGCUUAUGGAGGGGGAUAACUACGGGAAACUGUAGCUAAUACCGCGUAAUAUCUUCGGAUUAAAGGGUGGGACCGUAAGGCCACCUGCCAUAAGAUGAGCCCAAGUGGGAUUAGGUAGUUGGUGGGGUAAAGGCCUACCAAGCCGACGAUCUCUAGCUGGUCUGAGAGGAUGACCAGCCACACUGGAACUGAGACACGGUCCAGACUCCUACGGGAGGCAGCAGUGGGGAAUAUUGCACAAUGGGGGGAACCCUGAUGCAGCCAUGCCGCGUGAAUGAAGAAGGCCUUCGGGUUGUAAAGUUCUUUCGGUGAUGAGGAAGGCGGUUGUUUUAAUAGAACAAUCGAUUGACGUUAGUCACAGAAGAAGCACCGGCUAACUCCGUGCCAGCAGCCGCGGUAAUACGGAGGGUGCGAGCGUUAAUCGGAAUGACUGGGCGUAAAGGGCACGCAGGCGGUGACUUAAGUGAGAUGUGAAAGCCCCGGGCUUAACCUGGGAAUUGCAUUUCAUACUGGGUCGCUAGAGUAUUUUAGGGAGGGGUAGAAUUCCACGUGUAGCGGUGAAAUGCGUAGAGAUGUGGAGGAAUACCGAAGGCGAAGGCAGCCCCUUGGGAAUAUACUGACGCUCAUGUGCGAAAGCGUGGGGAGCAAACAGGAUUAGAUACCCUGGUAGUCCACGCUGUAAACGCUGUCGAUUUGGGGAUUGGGCUUUAAGCUUGGUGCCCGUAGCUAACGUGAUAAA